GACGAACGCUGGCGGCGUGCUUAACACAUGCAAGUCGAACGGAAAGGCCCUGCUUUUGUGGGGUGCUCGAGUGGCGAACGGGUGAGUAACACGUGAGUAACCUGCCCUUGACUUUGGGAUAACUUCAGGAAACUGGGGCUAAUACCGGAUAGGAGCUCCUGCUGCAUGGUGGGGGUUGGAAAGUUUCGGCGGUUGGGGAUGGACUCGCGGCUUAUCAGCUUGUUGGUGGGGUAGUGGCUUACCAAGGCUUCGACGGGUAGCCGGCUUGGGAGGGUGACCGGCCACACUGGAACUGAGACACGGUCCAGACUCCUACGGGAGGCAGCAGGGGGGAAUCUUGCGCAAUGGGGGAAAGCCUGACGGAGCCACGCCGCGUGAGUGAUGAAGGCCUUCGGGUCGUAAAGCUCGGUUAGUAGGGAAGAAAAGAUGUGGGCUUAUAUCCCGUGGAACUGACGGUACCUGAAGAGAAAGCACCGGCUAACUACGUG
rnacentral:rRNA from 1 species